rnacentral:rRNA from 1 species
GACGAACGCUGGCGGCGUGCCCAAUACAUGCAAGUUGAGCGCUGAAGGUUGGUACUUGUACCAACUGGAUGAGCAGCGAACGGGUGAGUAACGCGUGGGGAAUCUGCCUUUGAGCGGGGGACAACAUUUGGAAACGAAUGCUAAUACCGCAUAAAAACUUUAAACACAAGUUUUAAGUUUGAAAGAUGCAAUUGCAUCACUCAAAGAUGAUCCCGCGUUGUAUUAGCUAGUUGGUGAGGUAAAGGCUCACCAAGGCGAUGAUACAUAGCCGACCUGAGAGGGUGAUCGGCCACAUUGGGACUGAGACACGGCCCAAACUCCUACGGGAGGCAGCAGUAGGGAAUCUUCGGCAAUGGACGAAAGUCUGACCGAGCAACGCCGCGUGAGUGAAGAAGGUUUUCGGAUCGUAAAACUCUGUUGGUAGAGAAGAACGUUGGUGAGAGUGGAAAGCUCAUCAAGUGACGGUAACUACCCAGAAAGGGACGGCUAACUACGUG